CUAAGUUUACAGUUGCAAAUCAAGUCUCGAAAGACAGGAGAAUUCAUACUGGAGAGGCAGCUUACAAAUGUAAGAGUUUGUGACAAGAAUCUCGGGCGUGAUUCACACCUGGCACAACAAACUAGAAGUCACACUGGAGAGAAACCUUACAAGUGUACUGAGUGCGGCAAAGCCUUUAGUGGGCAGUCAACACUUAUUCACCAUCAGGCAAUCCAUGGUAUAGGGAAACUUUACUAAUGUAAUGAUUCUCACAAAGUCUUCAGUAACACUACAACCAUUGCGAAUCAUUGGAGAAUCCAUAAUGAAGAGAUAUUUUAAAAGUGUAAUAAAUGUGGCAAAUUUUUCAGACAUUGUUCAUACCUUGCAGUUCAUCGGGAAACUCAUGCUGGAGAGAUCUUACAAAUGUCAUGAUUGUGGCAAGGUCUUCAGUCUAGCUUCAUCUUAUGCAAAACAGGAGAAUUCAUACAGGAGACAAACUUCACAAGUACGAUUGUGGCAAAGCCUUUACUUCAUGUUCACACCUAAUUAGACAUCAGAGAAUCCAUACUGGACAGAAAUCUUACAAAUGUCAUCAGAGUGGCAAGGUCUUCAGUCCGAGGUCACUCCUUGCAGAAUAUCAGAAAAUUUAUUGUUGAGAUGAUAGUUCCAAAUGCAAUGAGUAUAGCAAACCAUCAAGCAUUCAUUGACGUUAGAGUCAAUUCAGCACUGACUUGAGUUUGAGUUGACUUAACAUUGAGUUCAAGCAUUAAUUGACAUUAAAGUGUUUAUGUUAAGAAGAUUGGGCCAGGCGGGGUGGCCUGUAAUCCCAGCACUUUGGGAGGCCAAGACCAAUAGAUCACUUGAGGUCAGGAGUUUGAAACCAGACUGGCCAAAACAUGAGUCACUUUUCCCAGCCUGUAUUUUGUUUCUUUAAUAAAAACUGUUGGGGGUU